CUUAAAUGUAGAGUGCAUUUUUUUAGAGAUUAGAAAUUCCCUUCGGGGCUUUCUGCAAGGUGCUGCAUGGUUGUCGUCAGCUCGUGCCGUGAGGUGUCGGGUUAAGUCCCAUAACGAGCGCAACCCUUAUCGUUAGUUGCCAUCUGGUAAUGCAGGGGACUCUAGCGAAACUGCCACCGUAAGGUGAGAGGAAGGUGGGGAUGACGUCAAAUCAGCACGGCCCUUAUGUCCAGGGCUACACACGUGUUACAAUGGUCGGUACAGAGGGCAGCUACCUGGUGACAGGAUGCUAAUCUCGAAAACCGGUCUCAGUUCGGAUCGAAGUCUGCAACUCGACUUCGUGAAGCUGGAUUCGCUAGUAAUCGCGCAUCAGCUAUGGCGCGGUGAAUACGUUCCCGGGCCUU
rnacentral:rRNA from 1 species